CCUACGGGAGGCAGCAGUGAGGAAUAUUGGUCAAUGGGCGCGAGCCUGAACCAGCCAAGUAGCGUGAAGGAUGACUGCCCUACGGGUUGUAAACUUCUUUUAUAAAGGAAUAAAGUGAGGCACGUGUGCCCUUUUGUAUGUACUUUAUGAAUAAGGAUCGGCUAACUCCGUGCCAGCAGCCGCGGUAAUACGGAGGAUCCGAGCGUUAUCCGGAUUUUUUGGGGUUAAAGGGAGGGUAGGUGGGUUGUUAAGUCAGUUGUGAAAGUUUGCGGCUCAACCGUAAAAUUGCAAUUGAUACUGGCAGUCUUGAGUACAGUAGAGGUAGGCGGAAUUCGUGGUGUAGCGGUGAAAUGCUUAGAGAUCACGAAGAACCCCGAUUGCGAAGGCAGCUUACUGAACUGUGACUGACAUUGAUGCUCGAAAGUGUGGGUAUCAAACAGGAUUAGAUACCCCAGUAGUC
rnacentral:rRNA from 1 species